GGAGUUUGGACCGUCUCUCAGUUCCAAUGUGGCCGAUCACCCUCUCAGGUCGGCUACCGAUCGUCGACUUGGUGGGCCGUUACCUCACCAACUAUCUAAUCGGACGCGAACUCACCCCAAACCUGAUUGCUCAUUUUACCCCAUCGCCAUGCGACAACGUGGUCUUAUGCGGUAUUAGCACCUGUUUCCAAGUGUUAUCCCCCUGUCUGGGACAGAUUGUUCACGCGUUACUCACCCGUCCGCCACUAGAAUAUCAAGAAAUCCUGCCGAAGCUCUCAAUCUCGAUAUCCCCGUUCGACUUGCAUGUGUUAAGCACGCCGCCAGCGUUCAUC
rnacentral:rRNA from 1 species